UCCAAUGAACGGGUAAUGUCCCAUGGCCU
rnacentral:piRNA from 1 species